CAACUUUCAACAACGGAUCUCUUGGUUCUCGCAUCGAUGAAGAACGCAGCGAAUUGCGAUAUGUAAUGUGAAUUGCAGAAUUCAGUGAAUCAUCGAAUCUUUGAACGCACAUUGCACCCUCUAGUAUUCUGGAGGGUAUGCCUGUUUGAGUGUCAUUA
rnacentral:rRNA from 6 species